UUAUUGGGCGUAAGGGCUCGUAGGUGGUUGAUCGCGUCGGAAGUGUAAUCUUGGGGCUUAACCCUGAGCGUGCUUUCGAUACGGGUUGACUUGAGGAAGGUAGGGGAGAAUGGAAUUCCUGGUGGAGCGGUGGAAUGCGCAGAUAUCAGGAGGAACACCAGUGGCGAAGGCGGUUCUCCGGGCCUUUCCUGACGCUGAGGAGCGAAAGCGUGGGGAGCGAACAGGCUUAGAUACCCUGGUAGUCCACGCUGUAAACGGUGGGUACUAGGUGUGGGGUCCAUUCCACGGGUUCCGUGCCGUAGCUAACGCUUUAAGUACCCCGCCUGGGGAGUACGGCCGCAAGGCUAAAACUCAAAGGAAUUGACGGGGCCCCGCACAAGCGGCGGAGCAUGCGGAUUAAUUCGAUGCAACGCGUAGAACCUUACCUGGGUUUGACAUGGAUCGGGAGUGCUCAGAGAUGGGUGUGCCUCUUUUGGGGUCGGUUCACAGGUGGUGCAUGGCUGUCGUCAGCUCGUGUCGUGAGAUGUUGGGUUAAGUCCCGCAACGAGCGCAACCCUUGUUCACUGUUGCCAGCACGUUAUGGUGGGGACUCAGUGGAGACCGCCGGGGUCAACUCGGANGAAGGUGGGGAUGACGUCAAGUCAUCAUGCCCCUUAUGUCCAGGGCUUCACGCAUGCUACAAUGGCUGGUACAGAGAGUGGCGAGCCUGUGAGGGUGAGCGAAUCUCGGAAAGCCGGUCUCAGUUCGGAUUGGGGUCUGCAACUCGACCUCAUGAAGUCNGANUCGCUAGUAAUCGCAGAUCAGCAACGCUGCGGUGAAUACGUUCC
rnacentral:rRNA from 1 species